rnacentral:rRNA from 1 species
UACGUAGGGGGCAAGCGUUGUCCGGAAUCAUUGGGCGUAAAGAGCGUGUAGGCGGCUCGAUAAGUCUGCUGUGAAAGUCCAGGGCUCAACCCUGGAAGGCCGGUGGAAACUGUCGGGCUAGAGUCCGGAAGAGGCGAGUGGAAUUCCCGGUGUAGCGGUGAAAUGCGCAGAUAUCAGGAGGAACACCGGUGGCGAAGGCGGAUCUCUGGGCCUUACCUGACGCUCAGGCGCGAAAGCGUGGGGAGCGAACAGG